GCAGCUGCCGACUUGAAAUGAUCUCCAGUCCUGUCCCCUCAUGACUGUGGUUGCAAACAGAAGUUGCCUGCAAUGGACUCACCAGAAGAAAGAGCUCUGUCUUCUAAUUACCGGAAUGCCAAUCAGAGUCUGUGUCAUUAAAGCUUGGAUCGUGGAGCAAUGCUGCGAAUAUUGUGAUAAUGGAUUCAGUGGAGACGACUGCUGAUCUGGUACCAGAUUCUGAGGAAUUGCAGAGAUAAGAAUGUAAGAGUCUCAGGUAAGAAAGUUGACAUCGUAUGCACAAAAUUGGGUGUUUGACUGAUUUUUGAUACUUAUUAGUUGGAUUGAGUUUAUCCAAGAUUGGCCGACUUUCAGAACCUAGUCUAUCAGUGAUUGAUUUUUUGUAUGUUUGAUUGUUUUUGGAAAGCAAAAUUGUUGUUUUGUUUUGUUUUGUUUUGUUUGAAAAUCCAUUUUUGUCAACUCAAAUUGUCACUUCUGGGUUCAUUGGUUUUAGUUGGCUACUUGCUGCUAUGUUACUAUGGUUAUGGAAAAAUUAGCACUUUCUAGGAAUAUUGGAUGCAUUGUGUAUUCUAAUUACAAAAAGUUCCCUUCACGGUUCCCUGGAAGUAUUUUUCCUAUCCUAGAUAUGUAUAUAAUUUUUUAUAAAAUUUUAUUUCAUAGGAGUAUAGGGAAAUAAGUUUUACAGAUCUGUCAGACACCAACCAAGGGAAGCUGUAAAUAUUCCAUAUAGUAUAAAUUGCUACAUUAAAUGAGAAAACACACCAAAAAUAAACUGCACUGUAUAUGUAAACA
ensembl:lncRNA